rnacentral:rRNA from 1 species
UAAUCGCGGAUCAGAAUGCCGCGGUGAAUACGUUCCCGGGUCUUGUACACACCGCCCGUCACACCAUGGGAGUCGGAGAUGCCCGAAGCCGGUGACCUAACCUUUAAGGAGAGAGCCGUCGAAGGCAGGUCUGAUAACUGGGGUGAAGUCGUAACAAGGUACC